GAAUCUUGCGCAAUGGGCGAAAGCCUGACGCAGCCAUGCCGCGUGUAUGAUGAAGGUCUUAGGAUUGUAAAAUACUUUCACCGGGGAAGAUAAUGACGGUACCCGGAGAAGAAGCCCCGGCUAACUUCGUUCCAGCAGCCGCGGUAAUACGAAGGGGGCUAGCGUUGCUCGGAAUUACUGGGCGUAAAGGGAGCGUAGGCGGAUAGUUUAGUCAGAGGUGAAAGCCCAGGGCUCAACCUUGGAAUUGCCUUUGAUACUGGCUAUCUUGAGUAUGGAAGAGGUAUGUGGAACUCCGAGUGUAGAGGUGAAAUUCGUAGAUAUUCGGAAGAACACCAGUGGCGAAGGCGACAUACUGGUCCAUUACUGACGCUGAGGCUCGAAAGCGUGGGGAGCAAACAG
rnacentral:rRNA from 1 species